AUUUCAAGCACAUAUACAAUUAUAACAACAAUAAAAUAUGCAAGCGUGUAAGCUCGAGAAAGUUUGCCAAACGCAUUGCGUAAUGCCAUUUAUUACUGGAGCCGUGUGUAGGAGACAUGAACGAAAAGCUUUCAGUGACCUCAUCAGUUGCGUCAUAACAAUCAAAACCACACACGCACGCACACGCCGAACAGAUUCCAACAGAGUUGUAAACAAGCAUGGAGCAGUUAAUAAAGUUGUUGGCGAAAACUGAAACUGCAUUGAAAGAUUGCUAUAAAAGGACAGCAAAAGACACAGACACCAAAAUCAUCGAGCUGAAUUCGCCGUCCGAAAUAUAAACGCAAAAAAGACUACACAUUGCUUCAAAAGCUCGGAAUUGCUUCUAUCGCGAGAUAUCACGGACGAAGCGAAGUGCCGGAUACCGUGUCCACUUGGCUGUUGAUUCUGCAAAUGCUGACGAUAGUGCCUAUCAUUGUCCACUGAUAUGCAGCUAGUGUAGGCAUGGUGUGCUACCGAGAGCAGCCUGGUGACUAUUUGGAAAAAAAUUUCGUAUUCGACUAAAAUGUUCGCUCCGAAUUGUUAAAAAUAUAAAUACACUCAAUCCUUUAUUCAACACUUGAAAAUUAUUCAGACUUACCCAUUCUUCGGAUGUUUCGAAA